GGUCUACGGUACCGAGUAAUCAUGCAGCAUCUACUUAGAUUCAUCGUUAUUCUGACGACCGUGUUAACGUUCUGUGAAGCUACCAUUUCUUCGGCAUGUUUGCGUUGUAUUUGUAACGUAUGUUUAUAUUACCUGAAUUUAUUUAAUCAUUGCCAAAAUGCCUUACCUUUUUAUAAAAAAAAAUCAUUGAAAAAUGAGCAUAUUAGACCAAGUUGUGUAUUUCUGUUAAUGUAAGGUGGAAUCCGGAUGCAGACCCAUUGGUUGUCGCUAUGACGUGUACUCAUAUUCGUGUGGCUACUUUCAAAUCAAAGAGGAAUACUGGGAAGACUGUGGACGACCUGGAACAAGUUACAAGGGAUGUGCUAACGACUACACGUGCGCUUCCAACUGUGUCAGAGCCUACAUGAAGCGUUAUAUUGGAGGAAGUGGCUGUCCAGCAAACUGUGAAAGUUAUGCAUGAAUCCACAAUGGUGGCCCGCGAGGAUGUCGAUAUCCAUCCACUCUCAGAUACUGGGAGAAGGUGCAUCAGCAAGGUUGCAAUGUGAACAGUUGAUUGUACAGCCAAGAUAAUUCAAAAUAUGAGACAAAAUU
rnacentral:misc_RNA from 1 species